ensembl:lncRNA
UAUGCAGGUCAGGAAGCAACAGUUAGAACUGGACAUGGAACAACAGGAAAUAUAAGCGUGUAAUUUUCCCAGGAGGUCUUGGCCCCCCAAAAUGUACAGGGACAGAAGUAACUAAUGAAUUCCCUGAAAAGAAUCUAUCUCAGAAGGCAAGGAGGCCAACUGACUUACCUUCACAACUGUGUUUGGAACUCACACCAUUUGGACCAUUCUGGCACCCUAAGGAAGAGGGCCUGAAGGCAGUGAUAAGUCUCUAUGUCCACAAGUGUGGUAAUAGCCUCAGCUCUGAUAAAAGAAGGUCCAACUCUCCCAAUGGUGCUAGUGGGAGUACUGGAAAGACCCCCAAACUUUUCUCAGAACUUCAUGAGUGUUUGUUUACAAAAGGGAGGUACAUUUCAAAUUUCUCAGGACAUUCAUGAAAAGGGUCCCAGAGGGUAGCUUUGGGCUGCGAAUAAGGCCUUCGUUUUAACUUUGGGUAAUUCUUCCAGUGGCCAGGCUGAUUAUGAUAGUGGCAGGGACCUAGCCUUGAAAGGAACCCUGGAGAGAAUUUUGGUCUUUCUGUUGAGGUAGCUGCUGAGUGGCAGUGGUCAGAUGCUGCCUUAGACGGUUGCGACAGCCCCGAGGCCGAGUGAGGCCAGAGAGUCCCGCCUCCUGUCUGCCUAGUCCGCCGCCUGCCCUUUUGGGAAGGAAGGCCGUCUGUACGGAGCUCUUUUUCACGUUGUUCCUGCCUCUCAGCGUCUGCUGGAGGAAAGGGGCGAACGGCCCCUUUAGUCGCGGUGCAGCUGGGCAACCCCUCCGCUGACAGCACCGCACGUACUUGCUGUGCAUUUGUGUAUAGGAUUGUUUUAGAGAGAGUAUUCACUAAAUUCACCAAAUCAGAAGUGGCCAUUGCUUCAAAUCAAAAAAGUGCAUUUUUAACACUUUUAAAACAUUUUUUCUUGUGCAUGAUUGAUUAUGAAACUAUAACUUUAAAUAAAUAUUCUUUACUAAAAUAUAUAUGUAGCUAUGCCAAAACCAUGAAAUGUCUUGUUUUUUAUCUGAUGGACACUCCUGGUUAUUUUUUGUUUUCCCAGCCUUUCAUAAAAAUAGGUAUAACUAAAUUUACCUUUUUAGCUCUACAUGCAUCAUUAGAUAACUAAAUUUAGGUAACAGUUAUAUUUUCAAGUAAAUUAUAGUAAUACCUGAAUUUAUCUUUUUGUCACAGGUAUACAAUACAACUUAUAUUACAAAGUGAAAGAAAGAUUUGGCAUGUUGUUUUUUUGUCUACUUUUAGUUGACCUGUGACAGUCUGGAGAUAAUGACAAAAAUGUCAAUGCCCCAAAUAAAACCAUUAGAAUUGCUGUGCUUUUCUCUUGCUAUAAGUUGUUCUUUUGCAAAAGACUGCUCUUCAAUUGCAUAUUUGUGUUAAAAAAUAACUAUUCUAGUUUUUCUUGGAAUGUGACUUGCAUUUUGAAUUUUCAGUAAACUAAUGUACUUGUAAACCAUGAAAAUAAGUUCUGUGGCAGUAAAANNNNNNNNNNNNNNNNNNNNNNNNNNNNNNNNNAAUAAAAUCAUGCAAUUAUAAACAUUCCACUAAUUUUUUUUAACGAUAUAAGCUGUUGAUUACCCUUCUUGCCAGUUAACAGGAAAGGGAUUUUUGAAUACAUGUAAUGUAGAACAACUGGCUUGUUUUUGACAGCCAAUCCAUGGAGCCUUUAACAAUUGGUUCUUUAUUUUUCUUUUCAACUUAUUGCAGUUGGUUUUUGCUGUUUUGGAUUGUCUCAACCCCUUCCUAUUGCCACCAGAUAGCACUUGUGUACCUUAGCAACAAUAGAUGAUGAAUUUCCAUCUAAUUAAAAAAUAUAGAUGGUUUUCAAAUAAUCAACUUCUGUUUUUAAGGUUUUCCAUUUGGUUUUUAGGUCAUCAUAGUUAUAUUCAGGAUAGAAAGUAUACAAGAAUAUUAAGCAGAAAAAGAAUUUUGCAUAGGAGAGAAAGGAAUAACUAAGAUUGUAGCCAUGUUGGGCCUGCAGACACAGAAAAUAUGCUGGGCCAUAACUUUGGGGAGUAUUUAUGAAAUUUGACUGGCUUGAAAA